AAAGUUUGAUCCUGGCUCAAGAACGAACGCUGGCGGCGUGCCUAACAYAUGCAAGUCGAGCGAGAAAGUCCCCGCAAGGGGAUGAGUAAAGCGGCGAACGGGUGAGUAACACGUGGGCAACCUGCCCUUCAGUCAGGAAUAACCCCGCGAAAGCGGGGCUAAUACCGGAUGACGUCCUUCGGGGGCAUCCUUGGGGGACCAAAGGGGGCGAGCGAAAGCGGCUCCCGCUGAGGGAUGGGCCUGCGGCUGAUUAGCUAGUUGGUGGGGUAGCGGCCUACCAAGGCGACGAUCAGUAGCCGACCUGAGAGGGUGACCGGCCACACUGGGACUGAGACACGGCCCAGACUCCUACGGGAGGCAGCAGUGGGGAAUAUUGCGCAAUGGGCGAAAGCCUGACGCAGCGACGCCGCGUGGAURAUGAAGGCCUUCGGGUCGUAAAACCCUGUCGGGUGGAACGAAUCUCCGCUCCUCUAAUACAGGGGUGGAUUGACGGUACCACCGAAGGAAGCCCCGGCUAACUACGUGCCAGCAGCCGCGGUAAUACGUAGGGGGCGAGCGUUGUUCGGAUUUACUGGGCGUAAAGAGCGCGUAGGCGGUUCGAUGAGUCGGAGGUGAAAUCCCUCGGCUUAACCGAGGACCCGCGUCCGAUACUGUCGAACUUGAGUGCAGGAGAGGAGAGCGGAAUUCCCAGUGUAGCGGUGAAAUGCGUAGAUACUGGGAGGAACACCGGUGGCGAACGCGGCUCUCUGGACUGUCACUGACGCUGAGGCGCGAAAGCUAGGGGAGCAAACGGGAUUAGAUACCCCGGUAGUCCUAGCCGUAAACGAUGGGCACUACGUGUGGGGAGGUAUCGACCCCUUCCGUGCCGCAGCUAACGCAUUAAGUGCCCCGYCUGGGGAGUACGGCCGCAAGGUGAAACUCAAAGGAAUGACGGGGCCCGCACAAGCGGUGGAGCAUGUGGUUUAUCGACGCACGCGAGACCUUACAGGCUGAMUCCGCGAUCUGCGAAGCAGAUGCCGCAGACSCGGAAMGGKGUGCAUGCUGUCGUCACUCAGUCUGGAAGGUGGCUAGUCCGCACGAGSCAACCUUMCCCCUGAUGCCMUCAGUCAUGKCKGGGACAMCUYUUAAGGA
rnacentral:rRNA from 1 species